rnacentral:ncRNA from 1 species
GUAGCUCUGGAGAAUCUCAUUAUGUUUGAGUACCGAAGGUGCAAGGCUUCCAGACGGAAGUCGAAACUCUCAGGUCAAAGGACAGGGUC